rnacentral:rRNA from 1 species
AUUGAACGCUGGCGGCAUGCUUUACACAUGCAAGUCGAACGGCAGCGCGGGCUUCGGCCUGGCGGCGAGUGGCGAACGGGUGAGUAAUACAUCGGAACGUGCCCAGUAGUGGGGAUAGGUCGGCGAAAGGCGGAUUAAUUCCGCAUACGACCUGAGGGUGAAAGCGGGGGAUCUUUGGACCCCCCGCCAUUUGAGCGGCCGAUGGCAGAUUAGCUAGUUGGUGGGGUAAAGGCCUACCAAGGCGACGAUCUGUAGCUGGUCUGAGAGGACGACCAGCCACACUGGGACUGAGACACGGCCCAGACUCCUACGGGAGGCAGCAGUGGGGAAUUUUGGACAAUGGGCGAAAGCCUGAUCCAGCAAUGCCGCGUGUGUGAUGAAGGCCUUCGGGUUGUAAAGCACUUUUGGCGGGAACGAAAAGGACUGUGCCAAUACCACGGUUCGAUGACGGUACCCGCAGAAUAAGCACCGGCUAACUACGUG